rnacentral:rRNA from 1 species
UACCAGCACCUCGAGUGGUCGGGACGAUUAUUGGGCCUAAAGCAUCCGUAGCCGGUCAUGCAAGUCUUCCGUUAAAUCCAGCCGCUCAACGGCUGGGCUGCGGAGGAUACUACGUGGCUAGGAGGCGGGAGAGGCAAGCGGUACUCAGUGGGUAGGGGUAAAAUCCUUUGAUCCAUUGAAGACCACCAGUGGCGAAGGCGGCUUGCCAGAACGCGCUCGACGGUGAGGGAUGAAAGCUGGGGGAGCAAACCGG